GCCACUAUGGUUCAGUGGUUAGAACGCCAGCCGCCUGAUUAGCUCAGCGGCGGGAGGUCCAGGGUUCGACUCCCUGGGGUGGUC